CGCGGCCUAUCAGCUUGUUGGUGAGGUAAUGGCUCACCAAGGCUUCGACGGGUAGCCGGCCUGAGAGGGUGACCGGCCACACUGGGACUGAGACACGGCCCAGACUCCUACGGGAGGCAGCAGUGGGGAAUAUUGGACAAUGGGCGAAAGCCUGAUCCAGCAACGCCGCGUGAGGGAUGACGGCCUUCGGGUUGUAAACCUCUUUCAGUACCGACGAAGCGCCAAUAACGGUGGUGACGGUAGGUACAGAAGAAGGACCGGCCAACUACGUGCCAGCAGCCGCGGUAAUACGUAGGGUCCGAGCGUUGUCCGGAAUUAUUGGGCGUAAAGGGCUCGUAGGCGGUCUGUCGCGUCGGGAGUGAAAACUUACAGCUUAACUGUGAGCGUGCUUCCGAUACGGGCAGACUUGAGGUAUUCAGGGGAGAACGGAAUUCCUGGUGUAGCGGUGAAAUGCGCAGAUAUCAGGAGGAACACCGGUGGCGAAGGCGGUUCUCUGGGAAUAUCCUGACGCCGAGGAGCGAAAGUGUGGGGAGCGAACAGGAUUAGAUACCCUGGUAGUCCACACCGUAAACGUUGGGCGCUAGGUGUGGGGUCCAUUCCACGGAUUCCGUGCCGCAGCUAACGCAUUAAGCGCCCCGCCUGGGGAGUACGG
rnacentral:rRNA from 1 species